rnacentral:rRNA from 1 species
GACGAACGCUGGCGGCGUGCUUAACACAUGCAAGUCGAACGGGUCUGCCCUGUUUUUUGCGGGGUGGGUCAGUGGCGAACGGGUGAGUAACACGUGAGUAACCUGCCCCUCACUUCUGGAUAACCGCUUGAAAGGGUGGCUAAUACGGGGUGUUCUGGCUGUGCCGCAUGGUGUGGCUGGGAAAGAUUCACUUUUGUGGUGUUUUGGUGGGGGAUGGGCUCGCGGCCUAUCAGCUUGUUGGUGGGGUGAUGGCCUGCCAAGGCUUUGACGGGUAGCCGGCCUGAGAGGGUGGGCGGUCACACUGGGACUGAGAUACGGCCCAGACUCCUCCGGGAGGCAGCAGUGGGGGGUAUUGCACAAUGGGCGGAAGCCUGAUGCAGCGACGUCGCGUGAGGGAUGGAGGCCUUCGGGUUGUGAACCUCUUUCGCCGGUGAAGAAGGUCCUGCUCUUUGUGGUGGGGUUGACGGUAGCCGGGUUAUGAAGCGCCGGCUAACUACGUG